rnacentral:rRNA from 1 species
CCUACGGGGGGCUGCAGUAGGGAAUCUUCCACAAUGGGCGAAAGCCUGAUGGAGCAACGCCGCGUGGGUGAAGAAGGUCUUCGGAUCGUAAAACCCUGUUGUUAGAGAAGAAAGUGCGUGAGAGUAACUGUUCCCGUUUCGACGGUAUCUAACCAGACAGCCACGGCUAACUACGUGCCAGCAGCCGCGGUAAUACGUAGGUGGCAAGCGUUAUCCGGAUUUAUUGGGCGUAAAGGGAACGCAGGCGGUCUUUUAAGUCUGAUGUGAAAGCCUUCGGCUUAACCGGAGUAGUGCAUUGGAAACUGGGAGACGUGAGUGCAGAAGAGGAGAGUGGAACUCCAUGUGUAGCGGUGAAAUGCGUAGAUAUAUGGAAGAACACCAGUGGCGAAAGCGGCUCUCUGGUCUGUAACUGACGCUGAGGUUCGAAAGCGUGGGUAGCAAACAGGAUUAGAUACCCGGGUAGUC